UCGCAUCCUGGGGCUGGAGAAGGUCCCAAGGGUCCGGCUGUUCGCCGGUUAAAGCGGUACGCGAGCUGGGUUCAGAACGUCGUGAGACAGUUCGGUCCUUAUCCACUGUGGGCGUAGGAGACUUAAGGGGUUCAAACCCUAGUACGAGAGGACCGGGUUUGACGCACUUCUGGUAUGGCAGUUGUCUCUUCAGGGGCAUCGCUGCGUAGCCAUGUGCGGAAGGGAUAAGCACUGAAAGCAUCUAAGUGCCAAGCCCAUCCCAAGAUUAUGUCUCCCGGCCGUAAGGCCCUUAAGACCACGGGCAGACCACCCGUUUAAUAGGUCAGAUAUGUAAAUGCCGUGAGGCAUGCAGUAGACUGAUACUAAUCGGUCGUGAGGCUUGAUU
rnacentral:rRNA from 1 species